rnacentral:rRNA from 1 species
CCUACGGGGCGCAGCAGGCGCGAAACCUUCACAAUGUGCGAAAGCACGAUGAGGGGAUCCCAAGUGCUUGCUCGUAAGAGUAAGCUGUUUCAUUUGUCUAAAAAGCAGAGAGAGUAAGGGCUGGGUAAGACGGGUGCCAGCAGCCGCGGUAA